GGCCGCUACUCCAUUCCCAUAGCGUCCGGCCAGCCAUAAAAAAGGAGGAGAUCAAAUCCGCCGGCCGGCGGUGCGGCAGUGUGGAGACCUGCCGCAACGCGAUAGAGGUUUCGCUCUUCUAUCGUGAGGGAGUUCCCGCGGAGGCGGGGCUCUUACGGUCAUACAUAUGGCA
rnacentral:ncRNA from 1 species